ACCUGUCUAGCUCAGUCGGUAGAGCGUAAGGCUCUUAACCUUGUGGACGUGGGUUUGAGGCUCAUGGUGGGCA
rnacentral:tRNA from 1 species